rnacentral:rRNA from 1 species
CGCCUCGUGAACUCAUCUUCGGGGGUAGAGCACUGUUUCGGCUAGGGGGUCAUCCCGACUUACCAACCCGAUGCAAACUACGAAUACCGAAGAAUGUUAUCACGGGAGACACACGGCGGGUGCUAACGUCCGUCGUGAAGAGGGAAACAACCCAGACCGCCAGCUAAGGUCCCAAAGUCAUGGUUAAGUGGGAAACGAUGUGGGAAGGCACAGACAGCCAGGAUGUUGGCUUAGAAGCAGCCAUCAUUUAAAGAAAGCGUAAUAGCUCACUAGUCGAGUCGGCCUGCGCGGAAGAUGUAACGGGGCUAAACCAUGCACCGAAGCUGCGGCAGCGACACUAUGUGUUGUUGGGUAGGGGAGCGUUCUGUAAGCC